rnacentral:lncRNA from 1 species
CCACAUUGAAGGAUGAAAAUUCUUCCUUAGUGUUCAAAAAGUUUUGAGUCUCUCAACGCAUUGCCAAUUAACUUUAAGUUGUAUGCUCAUAAUCUAAUAUACCACUAUCACUAUAUAGCCACCAAUACGACUGUUUCCAACAAUCUUCCACCAUCACUACCACCCCUCUCACCCAAAUAAGAAUCCAUAUUUAAAUUUUGUUAUUUUACUAUGUUAAUUAAACAAGAGACUUUACAAGUUUCGUAAAAUUACGCAAGUAUGUACUUUGCAACAAUAACACCCAUUAAAAAAAGAAAAAAGGAAGAUCAUAUCGGCAUAGAUCUACUAUCUUGUCACGAAUUUAGACUGACUUUGGAUGUGCC